UACUUCAGGGGUUCACAAUCGCAGUCUAGUCUUUAAGAAGACAUUUGACUUCAUGGUCCAAGAUGGACCACGUUCAGUAUCCACAUUCUGAACAACAAGAUGGAGGAAGAAACAAGAAGAAGCAAAGAGCGCACUUGUGCUGUUUCUAAAAGACUCUCCCAUGAGUUGAAGGGCCAAGAGAAAAACUUGCGUUUCUGUUAAAACUUCAGCAGGCAUUUAUUAUGUCUUCAAUUGUUUUCGUUUUCUUUGCCUUAUGAUAAUCAGGCCAUACUUGGACCUGCUUUGACAUCCUCAUUGAACUUAUGCUUACUAGAGUGGCUCCCCUCAGUUCCCACUCAUUCUGCCUGAGCCAAAUUCCUGUUUCCUAUACCUGCCCACCAUUUGCUUGGCCCCAGGGUUAUGCCUAGCACUUAAAUUCACCACAAACAUCCCUUGAUACCGUACAUCAGAAACAAAAUGUGACCUACAGCAAACCUAAUGAUUA
rnacentral:lncRNA from 10 species